AGUUGUUGCUACAAAGUACCAAAGGGAGCUUGUAUCAAUUUAAGUAAGGAGCCGGGAGAGAACUGGAGAACGGAGCAGGUGGCCUGCUCCAGGCCAGGUGUCCCCUAGCAGGCCUUCGUUUUGUCCCUGUGGUGUUUCUAAGAUGCAAUCUUAGUAUGGGCUACUUUCUCACAGACAGGGCAACUGAAGUUCUGUGCACUUAGUGACUUGGUCAAAGCCAAGUGUUGAGUGCCAAAGACUUGGAUUUGAAACCCAGCCUGACACAAAAGCCAGAGUUGGGCUGAUGAGAUGACUCAGUGGGUAAAGGUGAUUGCAGCCAAGCCUGACGACCUAUGUUCGAUUCCUAGAUACCCGCAUAGAGGAAGGCGCAAACUCUUUCCUGCACACUUGAGCUGUGGCACAUAAACACAGGUCUGUGCACACACACACACACACACACAUUAAAA
rnacentral:lncRNA from 1 species